AUUGAACGCUGGCGGCAGGCCUAACACAUGCAAGUCGAGCGAGCGGCGGACGGGUGAGUAAUGUAUGGGGAUCUGCCCGAUAGAGGGGGAUAACUACUGGAAACGGUGGCUAAUACCGCAUACUAUCGGAUGAACCCAUAUGGGAUUAGCUGGUUGGUGGGGUAAAGGCUCACCAAGGCGACGAUCCCUAGCUGGUCUGAGAGGAUGAUCAGCCACAUAGGGAGUGAGACACGGUCCAGACUCCUACGGGAGGCAGAAGUGGGGAAGAUUGCACAAUGGGCGCAAGCCGGAUGCAGCCAUGCCGCGUGUAUGAAGAAGGCCGUCGGGUUGUAAAGUACGUUCAGCGGGGAGGCGUUACUCGCAGAAGAAGCACCGGCUAACUCCGUGCCAGCAGCCGCGGUAAUAC
rnacentral:rRNA from 1 species